CACAUGGAUAACCGUGGUAAUUCCCCGGCUAAUACAUGCACUAAAGGGUGGUUUACGCCACUUGUAUUUAUUAGGUAAACCAGCACACGGCGUGGGCAACUGCGUCGUGGUCUGUGAUCAAUAAUAACUUCGCGAAUCGUAUGGCCUUGCGCCGACGACGGGUAGCGGAGGAUUAGGGUCUGACUCCGGAGAGGGAGCUUUAGAAACGGCCGCCACUUCCAAGGAAGGCAGCAGGCGCGCAAAUUACCCAAUUCCGUUUCGGAGAGGUAGUGAAGACAAAUAACAAUGUGUGGCUCAACGAGUCGCACAAUUGGAAUGCAAGAACAUUAAAUUCUUUCUAGUACAAUUGAAGGGUAAGUCUGGUGCCAGCAGCCGCGGUAAUACCAGCUUCAAUAGCGUAUGUUAAAUUUGCUGCAGUUAAAAAGCUCGUAGUUGGAUUUCAGCGUGAGGACGGGCGGUCCUGGAAACAGAGUACUGCACACAAACCGGCUUCACGCUUCCUUCUGGCAGCGCUAUGUUCACUCUUCAGUGAGUGGGUGUAGUGACUCCGGAUCGGUUACUUUGAACAAAUUAGAGUGUUUAAAGCAGGCGUUUGCCUUGAAUACGUUAGCAUGGAAUAACAAAAUGGGCUUUGACUGUCAUUUUGUUGGUUCAGAUGGUCAAGGAAUGAUUAAUAGGGAUAGUUGGGGGCAUCAAAAUUUUGGAGCUAGAGGUGAAAUUCUUAGAUUUCCGAAAGAUUAACUUCUGCGAAAGCGUUUGCCAAGUAUAUUCUCAUUAAUCAAGAACGAAAGUUAGGGGAUCGAAGACGAUCAGAUACCGUCGUAGUCUUAACCAUAAACGAUGCCGACUAGGGAUCCGGGGAAAUUCGAUUUGAUGACUCCCUGGGCACCUUCCGAGAAAUCAAAGUCUUUGGGUUUUGGGGGGAGUAUGGUCGCAAGGCUGAAACUUAAAGGAAUUGACGGAAGGGCACACCAGGAGUGGAGCCUGCGGCUUAAUUUGACUCAACACGGGAAAAC
rnacentral:rRNA from 1 species